rnacentral:rRNA from 1 species
AUGGACAGCCUUCAGAGUGAUCCUUAUACAAGGAGCAGCUUGCAAAUGCAGCUCAUUGACACCUCCACAUCCUUCGAAACUAGCAAUUUGGAUUUGGUCAAGCAUGAAGUUCCCACCCCUCAAGUUGGCAUGACUUUUGAGACAGUUGAUUUGGCAUACCAGUCUUACCUAGAGUACGGGUACCGUGCAGGCUUUGGAGUUUCAAAAAGAACUUCCCAUAGUGUUGAUGGGGUAAAAUACCGCGCAACAUUUGUUUGUUACAAAGGUGGCAUUGCUAGGAUUAAGCCUGGGCUUAAAGCUCGAAGAAGACUUGUUGCGAAGACUGGCUGCAAAGCUAUGAUGGUGGUGAAGUAUAACGCAAGUGAGAAUCAUUGGGAAGUAGUGUUUGUUGAGCUGGAGCAUAACCACCCAUGUAAUCCUGAAAUGGUCAGAUUCAUGAUGUGUUUUAAGGAUCUCCCUGACUGGCAGAGGGAGCACCGACCAUUCAAUGCGAAAACUAGAUUGAACCCAAAGAUCCAUUCUGGUAGAGGCAGGCCACCCAACCAAAACAAAGAUUUCAUGGUGAGGUCCUUCUCUCAGUCUAAUUAUUCAAUUGAAGCAGCUGCCAAGUGUGGGAAGCUGAGAUUUGCAGAGGGUGACGUUGAGGCAUUAUUAAUCUUUUUCGAUAAGAUGCAAGCUCAAAAUUCCAACUUUUUCUACAACUGGGACAUGGAUGAUGAAGGCCGGCUUAAAAAUGUUUGCUGGGUCGAUGCAAGAUCGAGAGCUGCAUAUCAGCAUUUCAGUGAUGUUGUCUGCUUUGAUACUGUUUAUUUGACAUACCAGUUUGUCAUUCCAUUGGUUGCUUUUCUUGGAAUCAACCAUCAUGGUCAAUUUGUAUUGUUAGGAUGCGGUUUACUGGGAGAUGAGUCUCCAGAGACUUUUUCAUGGUUAUUCAAAAAAUGGCUAAAAUGUAUGAAUGAUAAAGCACCUGAAGCAAUUAUUACCACCCAUUCAAGACCAGUAGUCAAAGCAGUCUCUGAGGUAUUUCUAAAUACUCGUCACAGAUACAACCUUUGGCACAUAAUGAAAGAGCUUCCUGACAUGUCUGGAAGAGUUGAGGAUAAGGAGGCAAUUAGCCUGAGAAUGAAAAAGGUAGUCUAUGACACCAUUACAGCAGCUGAUUUUGAGAAGGAGUGGGUUGAGAUGGCCAAUCAGUACAACCUUCAUGACAAUCGUUGGCUCACAACCUUGUUUGAAGAAAGGGCAAAAUGGGUGCCAGCAUAUGUGAAAGAUGCUUUCUGGGCUGGUAUCUCUACUGUUCGCCGCAGUGAACGGUUGGAGGCCUUUUUUGAUGGAUAUAUUACACCAGAGACCACAAUAAAGAUAUUCAUUGAACAAUUUGAUACUGCUAUGAAGCUUAGGUCCGAUCGAGAAGCCUAUGAUGAUUUCCGUUCUUUUCAGCAAAGGCCACAAGCCCUCUCUGGUCUGUUGUUUGAGGAGCAAUUUGCAAAUGCUUAUACGAUAAAUAUUUUCCAGAAGUUCCAGGAUCAGUUAAAGCAGCUGAUGAAUGUGACUUGCACUGAAGUCAGUAGGAAUGGAUCGAUAGUGACCUACACUGUGACUGUCAUUGGGAAGGAGAGGAAGUUUGACUAUAGAGUGAUGUAUAAUGGUGCUGAGAAAGAGGUGUGGUGUAUCUGUAGGUCGUUCCAGUUUAAAGGUAUUUUGUGUAGCCAUGCUCUUGCAGUCUUGAAGCAAGAGCUUGUGAUGCUAAUACCUUCCAAAUAUAUUCUUGAUCGAUGGAGGAAGGACUAUAAAUGCCCCGAGAAUCUAAGGAAACUCCCAUCCAACCAGAAGCGGCAAAACCAACAGGGAAGGGCACAAAACCUGAAAAUGUCCGUGAUGAUAAAGUGGACAACCUCUACAACGAUGGCCACCAGUACUUUGCUGACAUUGUGGAAAUGGGAGCAACUGAUCCUGAUGCAAUGGAGUAUGUUUUGUCUGUGA